AGGCAGUUCAGAACGAGGGUCCAGCCGAGUGCUCUCUAAUGUUUUGAUGAGCGCUCCAGGUCACGAGCUUCACGUUGUAUUUAUCAGGUAUUGAACACCGUUUUUCCCGUCUUACAUUUUAUUGAUUAUUUACAUUUAAAAAUACCUAAAGUUGGAUUAGGAAAGUUGUUUCAUAUGUUUGGACAGCGUUUACAGGUAACUUAUUAGAUAUUUUGUAGUCAUGUUGGGCGGGUUGGAACCGGUGUUUUUCUGAAUGAAAUGCGCCAAAUAAAUGGACAUUUUGGAGAUAUAACGUCGGAAUUAAUUGAACAAAAGGACCAUUUGUGAUGUUUAUGGACAUAUUGGAGUGCCAACAGAAGAAGUUCUUCAAAGCAUGAAGAUGACAGCAGGCUGCACGAGACAGUGGGAAUGGUGACGGACAGGACAUGAACCAUGUAUCCUGGACCUACUGAAAACACUCCACAUGGCCGGUAUAGCUGAACACUCCCAGAGCCUUCUCUGCCACUCUGCCCUCUAAC
rnacentral:lncRNA from 1 species